CAGUCUGCAGAGCUAUCUACAGGGCUGGUGGGAGACCCCUGAAAAGAAACCGGAGAAGCUUGCUGACAAAAGACUGGAAUUCUGGGCUCAGCUGUCUCCAGGACUCAGGGGCCCAUUGGGCAAUCCAUCACGGAGCACACCUGGCCUGCCCAAAGGACACAGCAGGCAGUGGGAGUCCAGAAAUGAACCAGACCCAUCCCUGGCCAUGGAGGAACACCCAACCUAACUGGAGAGACAAAGGUG